UCAAUUUGAUGCAACUCAAUACAUUGAUUGCAAAAAUAGGUCUUACAAAGGAAGGCCUCAUCAUGGAGAGAGGAUCGCCAGCAAGAGCCUAGUGCAUUGAUCAAUGGAAGAUCUAUAAAUAUGAUGCAUGUAGCAAGUGCGAGCAAUGGAUUCUUCUCAAAGUUAAACAAGAGCAUUACUUCCAUGGUGAUGACGUUCUAGAUGUUGAGUUUAAUGAAUUACACCAACUAUUCCACCAGGAGGCUCUUGACAAAUGUCUCCUCAGCGGCUGGUGUCUACAGUGAUUCUGUCUAUAAUUGAAGUCACUUGUUUGUUACUACCUCCAUCCAUUUAUCAGAGUCAUCUUAGCGAAAAAUUCUCUAAGAAACAGAGUUAUCUAAGCUAGGGACCACUAUUUUCAUCUUUUUCCAAGCACAUGUGGCUCCACUCACUGGUCUAAUUAAGUCAACCAUCUGCAUGCAUCUCCUUUCACUGGCCGAAUUAAUUUCCCCUUGAUCACUGCGUAUGCCCCUAAAAUGACUCCGAUAAAUGGAUGGAGGGAGUAGUUCAUUGUCUAUAUAUAAUUAUCCUCACACUAUAUUUAUUUAUACUAUAUAUGUGCAGACAUCAGAUACUAAACCUUAAAAACAAUGGGGUCUUCGAUAUUGGUUUCAUGGAUCCAUAUAUCAUAUUCAAUGACAAUAUUACUAAAUGGCCACAUCAAGUGGAGAAGAAUAUGUUGAAGUUCUUAGAUAACCAACAUCACAAGACAACGAUACUCUUACCUUCCAACUUCGAGUGAGUGUUGAUUGUAAUUAAUGGGUUUUCCAAAUGUGUAUAAAUAUGCAACUUUCACUAGUUACCGGUGAUUGUCAUUGAUCUUUCCAAAAGUCAUAUAAAAAAUUGACUCAGUGAGGAAACCCCAAUUAGAGUAUCAAUAUAUGAUAGAUCUUCUUUAGAGGUAAUUUUGGUCUCGCACACUAUACGUUUUAUGCCAUUUUAUUGAGAUAUCAUGGGGAAUAGCUCCAUUUAUUUAUUUUCUUGGGCAAUGUUUGGGCUCUGUUCACUAAGAAUAACCAUGGUGAUUGGAAGGUGCCAUUGGAUAUAGUCAAAUACCCAGUAAGUACUAGCUAGGUCCCCGCAUCUUUAUUUAUUUCAAUUGAUUAUUAUCAUUCUUGAUUGGUUGAUGAAUCUUUUUGGCAUAAAGUAGUGUCUGUUGCAGGAAAACAGAAAUAAUUUUUGUGGAUACUACAUUUUGCGAGUUCCUCAUACAGUACUCAUUGAAAACAAGUGAAGAGAUCCUCGAAGAUUCAGGAAUCAGCAGUCCUGGCAUGGAGCAGGCACAGGAUAAUUUGGAUCAAUCUCCAUUAAUAGUGUUAGCCGCAGCACAUGCAGUUGCUGGGCCGGUGUCACACGCCCUUCAUAUGCCUAACAAUCAUACAAAUCAGUCUAGCUCAGAUUGCCAGGUGGAUGUUUAUGGAGAUCAUAAGCAACAUGUAGUAGAGUUAGUAUUAUCUCAAUUUUUUCUUUCCAUGAAGCAUAGUUGCUUCCAUUAAGUUGCUGAAUGCUGUUAAUUGUACCAGCAAUUUGAGAGGCAUUAGAUGCUACAUAGAAAGAAAAUAUUUAGUAUGCAUCGUUGUAAACUUGUUCGCUUGAGCUUAUCAGCCG